rnacentral:tRNA from 1 species
CGAAGUAUAGCUUAAAUAAAGCAUCUCGCUUACACCAAGACAAUGCUCGUCAAACCCGAGCUACUUCGCG